AUAUCCUUUGAGGGUACAAUGUGGUCUAAUUUUCUUCAUUAUUCAAUUUGGAUCCUGUUAAGUAAGACAGGCAUUCACUAAGGACGAAGGCUUAAAUUUUGGCAAGUAAGUUCAUUUGUAUUCAGAAAGCUUUGCACCCCUCAUAUUUAAUAAACCUUUCCAUUACAGAGUAAAGAAA
rfam:Camelus ferus unplaced genomic scaffold scaffold1702, whole genome shotgun sequence.